rnacentral:rRNA from 1 species
CGAAGGAUCCAAGCGUUGUCCGGAUUUACUGGGUUUAAAGGGUGCGUAGGCGGGCUAUUAAGUCAGUGGUGAAAGCUUGCAGCUUAACUGUAAAAUUGCCAUUGAAACUGAUAGCCUCGAAUAUGGUUGAGGUGGUUGGAAUGUAUCAUGUAGCGGUGAAAUGCUUAGAUAUGAUACAGAACACCGAUUGCGAAGGCAGAUCACUAAACCAUUAUUGACGCUGAGGCACGAAAGCGUGGGGAUCAAACAGGAUUAGAUACCCUGGUAGUCCACGCCCUAAACGUUGCAUACUCGGUUUUAGCGAUAUACCGUUAGGACCCAAGCGAAAGCGUUAAGUAUGCCACCCGGGAAGUACGUCCGCAAGGAUG